rnacentral:rRNA from 1 species
CAGCAGCCACGGUAAUACGUAGGGUGCGAGGGUUAAUCGGAAUUACUGGGCGUAAAGCGUGCGCAGGCGGUUGUGUAAGACAGGUGUGAAAUCCCCGGGCUUAACCUGGGAACUGCGCUUGUGACUGCACAGCUAGAGUAUGGCAGAGGGGGGUGGAAUUCCACGUGUAGCGGUGAAAUGCGUAGAGAUGUGGAGGAACACCGAUGGCGAAGGCAGCCCCCUGGGCCAAUACUGACGCUCAUGCACGAAAGCGUGGGGAGCAAACAGGAUUAGAUACCCCCGUAGUCCCUGUCUCUUAUAA